rnacentral:rRNA from 1 species
AUUGAACGCUGGCGGUAGGCCUAACACAUGCAAGUCGAACGGUAACAGGUCUUUCGGGAUGCUGACGAGUGGCGGACGGGUGAGGAAUACAUCGGAAUCUGCUCAGUCGUGGGGGAUAACGCAUGGAAACGUGCGCUAAUACCGCAUACGACCUUCGGGUGAAAGCAGGGGAAUCUUUAGGGAUCCUUGCGCGAUUGAAUGAGCCGAUGUCGGAUUAGCUAGUUGGUAGGGUAAAAGCCUACCAAGGCCACGAUCCGUAGCUGGUCUGAGAGGAUGAUCAGCCACACUGGGACUGAGACACGGCCCAGACUCCUGCGGGAGGCAGCAGUGGGGAAUAUUGGACAAUGGGGGCAACCCUGAUCCAGCCAUACCGCGUGGGUGAAGAAGGCCUUCUGGGUUGUAAAGCCCUUUUGUUGGGGAAGAAAAACAACGGGUUAAUACCCCGUUGGUAUGACGGACCCAAAGAAUAAGCA